rnacentral:rRNA from 5 species
UCGUAACAAGGUCUCCGUAGGUGAACCUGCGGAGGGAUCAUUACACAAAUAUGAAGGCGGGCUGGAACCUCUCGGGGUUACAGCCUUGCUGAAUUAUUCACCCUUGUCUUUUGCGUACUUCUUGUUUCCUUGGUGGGUUCGCCCACCACUAGGACAAACAUAAACCUUUUGUAAUUGCAAUCAGCGUCAGUAACAAAUUAAUAAUUACAACUUUCAACAACGGAUCUCUUGGUUCUGGCAUCGAUGAAGAACGCAGCGAAAUGCGAUAAGUAGUGUGAAUUGCAGAAUUCAGUGAAUCAUCGAAUCUUUGAACGCACAUUGCGCCCUUUGGUAUUCCAAAGGGCAUGCCUGUUCGAGCGUCAUUUGUACCCUCAAGCUUUGCUUGGUGUUGGGCGUCUUGUCUCUAGCUUUGCUGGAGACUCGCCUUAAAGUAAUUGGCAGCCGGCCUACUGGUUUCGGAGCGCAGCACAAGUCGCACUCUCUAUCAGCAAAGGUCUAGCAUCCAUUAAGCCUUUUUUUCAACUUUUGACCUCGGAUCAGGUAGGGAUACCCGCUGAACUUAAGCAUAUCAAUAAGCGGAG